rnacentral:rRNA from 1 species
AGAGCGAACGCUGGCGGCAGGCCUAACACAUGCAAGUCGAGCGCCCGUAGCAAUACGGGAGCGGCAGACGGGAUAGUAACACGUGGGAACGCGCCCUUCGGUUCGGAAUAACUCAGGGAAACUUGAGCUAAUACCGAAUACGCCCUUACGGGGAAAGAUUUAUUGCCGAAGGAACGGCCCGCGUCCGAUUAGCUAGUUGGUGAGGUAAUGGCUCACCAAGGCUACGAUCGGUAGCUGGUCUGAGAGGAUGACCAGCAUCACUGGGACUGAGACACGGCCCAGACUCCUACGGGAGGCAGCAGUGGGGAAUAUUGGACAAUGGGCGCAAGCCUGAUCCAGCCAUGCCGCGUGGAUGAUGAAGGCCUUAGGGUUGUAAAGUCCUUUUAACGGGGAAGAUAAUGACGGUACCCGUAGAAUAAGCCCGGCUAACUUCGUGCUAGCAGCCGC